ACGGGUGAGUAAUGCGUGAGCAACCUGCCUUUCAGAGGGGGACAACAGCUGGAAACGGCUGCUAAUACCGCAUAACGUAUUCGGAUGGCAUCAUCUGAAUACCAAAGGAGCAAUUCGCUGAAAGAUGGGCUCACGUCUGAUUAGCUAGUUGGUGAGGUAACGGCUCACCAAGGCUGCGAUCAGUAGCCGGUCUGAGAGGAUGAACGGCCACAUUGGGACUGAGAUACGGCCCAGACUCCUACGGGAGGCAGCAGUGGGGAAUAUUGGGCAAUGGGGGAAACCCUGACCCAGCAACGCCGCGUGAAGGAAGAAGGCUUUCGGGUUGUAAACUUCUUUUAUGUGGGACGAAGAAGUGACGGUACCACAUGAAUAAGCCACGGCUAACUACGUGCCAGCAGCCGCGGUAAUACGUAGGUGGCGAGCGUUGUCCGGAUUUACUGGGUGUAAAGGGCGCGUAGGCGGGAAUGCAAGUCAGGUGUGAAAUCUAUGGGCUUAACCCAUAAACUGCACUUGAAACUGUAUUUCUUGAGUGAUGGAGAGGCAGGCGGAAUUCCUAGUGUAGCGGUGAAAUGCGUAGAUAUUAGGAGGAACACCAGUGGCGAAGGCGGCCUGCUGGACAUUAACUGACGCUGAGGCGCGAAAGCGUGGGGAGCAAACAGGAUUAGAUACCCUGGUAGUCCACGCUGUAAACGAUGAAUACUAGGUGUGGGGGGACUGACCCCCCUCCGUGCCGGAGUUAACACAAUAAGUAUUCCACCUGGGGAGUACGAUCGCAAGAUUGAAACUCAAAGGAAUUGACGGGGGCCCGCACAAGCAGUGGAUUAUGUGGUUUAAUUCGAAGCAACGCGAAGAACCUUACCAGGGCUUGACAUCCAACUAACGAAGCAGAGAUGCAUUAG
rnacentral:rRNA from 1 species